rnacentral:rRNA from 1 species
AUUGAACGCUGGCGGCAGGCCUAACACAUGCAAGUCGAGCGGAGCGGCGGACGGGCGAGUAAUGCCUAGGAAUAUGCCUGGUAGAGGGGGAUAACGUACGGAAAGGGGAGCUAAGCUAGCACCCUACCAGCUGAGACUAGGACGGAUGAGCUAGUUGGUGGGGUAAAGGCGUACCAAGGCGACGAUCCGUAACUGGCCUGAGAGGAUGAUCAGUCACACUGGAACUGAGACACGGUCCAGACUCCUACGGGAGGCAGCAGUGGGGAAUAUUGGACAAUGGGCGAAAGCCUGAUACAGCCAUGCCGCGUGUGUGAAGAAGGUCUUCGGAUUGUAAAGCACUUUAAGUUGGGAGGCGUUACCUACAGAAUAAGCACCGGCUAACUUCGUGCCAGCAGCCGCGGUAAUUC